CAGGACGAACGCUGGCGGCGUGCCUAACACAUGCAAGUCGAACGGAACUUCUUUAAAGGAUUCUUCGGAAUGAAUUUGAUUAAGUUUAGUGGCGGACGGGUGAGUAACGCGUGAGUAACCUGCCUCUAAGAGGGGAAUAACAUUCUGAAAAGAAUGCUAAUACCGCAUAAUAUAUAUUUAUCGCAUGGUAGAUAUAUCAAAGAUUUAUCGCUUAGAGAUGGACUCGCGUCCGAUUAGGUUGUUGGUGAGGUAACGGCUCACCAAGCCUUCGAUGGAUAGGGGUUCUGAGAGGAAGGUCCCCCCACAUUGGAACUGAGACACGGCCCAAACUCCUACGGGAGGCAGCAGUGGGAAUAUUGCACAAUGGGGGAAACCCUGAUGCAGCGACGCCGCGUGGAGGAAGAAGGUCUUCGGAUUGUAAACUCCUGUUGUUGAGGAAGAUAAUGACGGUACUCAACAAGGAAGUGACGGCUAACUACGUG
rnacentral:rRNA from 1 species